rnacentral:rRNA from 1 species
GAUGAACGCUGGCGGCGUGCCUAAUACAUGCAAGUCGAGCGAACGGACGAGAAAGUUUCUUCUCUGAUGUUAGCGGCGGACAGGUGAGUAAAACGUGUAUAACCUACCUAUAAGACUGGGAUAACUUCGUGAAACCGGAGCUAAAUCCGGAUAAUAUUUUGAACCGCAUGGUUCAAAAGUUAAAGACGGUCUUCCUGUCACUGAUAGAUGGAUCCGAGCUGCAUUAGCUAGUUGGUAAGGUAACGGCUAACCAAGGCAACGAUGCAUAGCCGACUUGGGAGGGGGAUAGGCAACACGGGACUUGAGAAAGGGUCAAGACUCUUACGGAAGGCAGAGGUAGGGAAUAUUCAGAAAUGGGGGAAAGCCUGAGGGAGCAACGCCGGGUGAGUGAUGAAGGUCUUGGGAUCGUAAAUAUCUGUUACUAGGGGAGAACAUAUAUAGAAGUAACUGUGCACAUCUUGACGGUACCUCAGAAGAAGACCACGGCUAACUACGU